GUCGCCUCCUAAAAGGUAACGGAGGCGCUCAAAGGUUCCCUCAGAAUGGUUGGAAAUCAUUCAUAGAGUGUAAAGGCAUAAGGGAGCUUGACUGCGAGACCUACAAGUCGAGCAGGGUCGAAAGACGGACUUAGUGAUCCGGUGGUUCCGCAUGGAAGGGCCAUCGCUCAACGGAUAAAAGCUACCCCGGGGAUAACAGGCUUAUCUCCCCCAAGAGUUCACAUCGACGGGGAGGUUUGGCACCUCGAUGUCGGCUCAUCGCAUCCUGGGGCUGUAGUCGGUCCCAAGGGUUGGGCUGUUCGCCCAUUAAAGCGGUACGCGAGCUGGGUUCAGAACGUCGUGAGACAGUUCGGUCCCUAUCCGUCGUGGGCGUAGGAAAUUUGAGAGGAGCUGUCC
rnacentral:rRNA from 1 species